UGGGGAAUCUUGCGCAAUGGGCGAAAGCCUGACGCAGCAACGCCGCGUGGGGGAUGAAGGCCUUCGGGUUGUAAACCCCUUUCAGCAGGAACAAAAUUGACGGUACCUGCAGAAGAAGCACCGGCCAACUACGUGCCAGCAGCCGCGGUAAUACGUAGGGUGCAAGCGUUGUCCGGAUUUAUUGGGCGUAAAGAGCUCGUAGGCGGUUUGGCAAGUCAGGUGUGAAAACUCCAGGCUCAACCUGGAGAUGCCACCUGAUACUGCUAUGACUUGAGUCUGGUAGGGGAGCACGGAAUUCCUGGUGUAGCGGUGAAAUGCGCAGAUAUCAGGAGGAACACCGGUGGCGAAGGCGGUGCUCUGGGCCAGUACUGACGCUGAGGAGCGAAAGCGUGGGGAGCAAAC
rnacentral:rRNA from 1 species